rnacentral:rRNA from 1 species
UACGUAGGGGGCAAGCGUUGUCCGGAAUUAUUGGGCGUAAAGAGCGCGUAGGCGGUCCGAUAAGUCGGCUGUGAAAGUCCAGGGCUCAACCCUGGAAUGCCGGUGGAAACUGUCGAGCUUGAGUCCGGAAGAGGCGAGUGGAAUUCCUGGUGUAGCGGUGAAAUGCGCAGAUAUCAGGAGGAACACCAAUGGCGAAGGCAGCUCGCUGGGACGGUACUGACGCUGAGACGCGAAAGCGUGGGGAGCAAACAGG